ACCCUUUUGUGGUUCAUAACCAAGAUGACUGGGUUUUCCUGCCCAUGUGUGAUAUGUGCCUACAUCAGUCCUUGUUACUGGUUGGCAUAUUAUCUCUCUGAUG